UUUCCGAGAGUUCUGAGAGCAUUUUCAUUGUAUUCUUGCUUGGAAGUUGGGGACCUUAGGAGUGGUAGAUUGGUUUUUGAUUUGAUGAUGGAGAGAGAUUUGCUUUCUUGGAAUUCGAUGAUUGAUUUCAGGUACUCCUUAACUAGAAGGGUACAUAAUCACUCAAAGGAAGAGACAAUUGUGAAAGCCGCAGUUUCCUUUCAUCCGAAAGAAGUUUUGCAAACCUGCCGGUAAAGGAAAGAAGGAUAAAGCAACCAAGACAAGUGGUAAGGGCCCUCAAGAAGUUGGUGGCUUCGAUAUGAUUCUAUAGGUUUAAGUGAAUCUGAAAAGAACCCAACUCCUAGCUGUCACUUUCCACAUGCACUUGGAAAGUACUUGAUACACUGCAGCUCCUGCUUGCUUUUGCUAAUUAACUUCAAAUAAAACCAUUGAAAAGAGUUCCCUUUUAUGUCUUGCAAUUCCCAGUUUGGUCGAGCUGAGGAAAGUGUUUGUAUAGAGGAUCAGAUCAGAAAUGAAUAUAUUUAUGCUCAUUAUCAUAUUAGUUUCUAGCUAGCAUAAACCUCAUAGUGAUUCAGGCUGGGGUGAGUUAUAGUUUUGGUUUUAGGAUUAGAUUGAAUCUACUAAUCCUCAGGAGCUGGCCCAGGGGAUCGUCACUUGUGGGGAAAUUGUCACUUGUGUAAAUUGAAUCUGGGUUAUUUCGAAAUUUUUUCAGACACAAAGA